UGGUGAACGUCGAACGGAGCAUGCGCUGACUGAGUAAUGGCUGCAGAUGGAGGUUAUUUUUUCUGCUCCGUAAACGGUGAAAACGACGCAACUCGCAGAGUGCAGUGAAUCCAGCAGGUGGACGGGGAGAUUUCGCAAAUGUCUUGUGCAAAUCUCAAACCCGAAGAAAAACCCCUGGGCUCCCGUUUGCAGCAAACGAAUACUUGCAGAGUAUUCACACACAGGAAUCUCCAACCAAAGAUCACAUAAGAAUCGUUGGAAUCAUCAGACACUGGAUAUUCUUGACCAUUGAGUUUAUCAGUAAAUAUUAUCAAUCCUGCUACCUGCGAAGAUGAUGAUGUGUGAAUUUGCAGAACCGCUGCAAUCCGUGUGGUGAAGGUGCUUCUUAAUGCUGUUUGUAAAGUUCCUCUUUAGGUUCAUCCUGAGGUGGGGAAGGAAUGUAUCCCAACCGCUCUCCUCCAUGGUUCACAGCUCCUCGACCUGGAACGCAGGCUGCUUUACAACUGAGUUUAGAGUCAUCGAGAACAACAGGAAAUGCUGCAAAUGAGCUGUCAGAUCAGAUCGGGGUCAAACAGGAAUCUGUUCCUGACUGAAAGUGAAAUGGGAGGUAUAAGUUUCUGAUCUGACAUUGAUACUACUCAUCAUUCUGUGAAGGUGUAAUAUGUCUUUCUGACAGUCCUGAGCCUUACUGUUUUAACGCAGGUGUUAAUUCUUCUAAAUUUAAACCAAUUGUUUAAACUCUGUAAUAAAAUAGCAGAUGGAGGAUUAUACAGGAACUUAGUCACUAGUGGUAAAUCUAUAUAACAGAUAUUUGAUCUCCAGACAAAGAAGAACAUUUGUCAUGUUUCCCAGAAUCCCUUGUUUAUAUGAUGUGUGUGUGUGUCUGUCUAUUAAAUGCCAGAAUAAGUAAAGAUCCACAACCUGAACUAUCCACAAGGGAAGUGAUCUUAACAGUGAAGCUGAGAUCAGUCCUGAUGUAAACUCCACUGAAGGUUUCAGGCUCAGGGAGUGGAUUGUGAGGAAGCUGGCUUUAGUAUCCUGACUCAUUUCUGGUGAGGAGCCAGAGGAAUCCUUACUUAAGAACCGUGUGUGGGGUUUUAUCUGUCAGUGCCAUUCCACAGCUGAAAAGGGGAAACGUUUCUUCCUGUUCACCCUCUUUGUGCCCUUCAUAAUUUUAUCCAUCACAAUCAUCUAAUUCCUCAAUUUCCUGUAUUCCAAGGAAAAAGUGAGGGCUGCAGAUGCUGGAGAUCAUGACUUCGGGUGACCGAAUCGACACGGACAUUUACUAUAAACCGACCGACUCCCACAGCUACCUAGACCACACCUCCUCCCACCCUGCCCCCUGUAAAAACGCCAUCCCAUAUUCCCAAUUAUUCCAAGGAAAUCAACAACAACCUGUCCAAAUUCUCUUCAUAAUUAAACCUCUCCAGCCCAGGCAACAUGCUGAGAAAUGUCCUCUGCAGUCUCUCUAGUGCAAUCAUAUCCCUUCUCUAAUGUGCACUACAGGACUGCACACAAACUCUCAUUGCAGCCUGAACAAUUUUUCCUACAAUUCCAGCAUAAUCUCCCUGUUUUAAAAUCUAUGCCUCAGCUAAUAAAGGCAAGUAUCCAGUAUGCCUUUUGAACCACUUUGAUUUACUUGCUACCCAGUGGAUAUGUACAGCAAGGUGCUUGGUAAUUCACACAGUCUUACUGCUCAUCCUUGCUUUGCUGCUUCUGCCUGAGAGCAUCACGUCAUAUUUAUCAGAAUUUUUGAAUACUAAUUGUCACUGAUCAGCCCAUCUGACCAGCCGAUUUAUACCCCUAAAUAAUUUAAGGCUACGCUCCUCAUUAUUUUCCACUCCCCAAUUUCUUCAUCAUGUAUCAACCCUGUUAUAUUCAAUUUUAAAUUGUUCCUUUAUGCCUUCCAUAGCAAGAGCUUCAAUACUGAUCCCUGCAGAACUUUAAUGUGCACAGGCAUUAAGUCACAAAUACACCCCUCGAUCGUCACCCUCCACAUCCUGCCAUGCUGGCAUUCUGGAUUUAAUCUACCAAAUUUCCUUGCAUCCCAUGGACUCUUUCCUUCACUAUCAGUGUCUCAUGCAGGAUCUAAUGAAAAGCUUUGCUGAGGUUCAAGUAGACUACAUCAAAUGCAUUUCUGUUGUCUACAUACCAAAUUAUCUCUUCGAAAAAUUGAAUCAAUUUGAUUAGACAUGACUCCCCUUUGACAAAACCGUGCUGUCUGUUCAUGAUAAAUCCCUGCUCUUCCAAGUACACCUCUUUACCCCCAAAAUACAUGAAUCUUAGAAUCAUAAAGUCAGACCCUUCAGUCCACCUCGACCAGGUAUCCCAAACUGAACUAGUCUCAUGUUAUGGACCAGACCAAAUGCCCUAAAAAUAUCUGAAGAAGAUAGUUUAGUCGCUAGCUUUUUUUCAUUUAAUGGAUAAGUGUAAGGCGUUGUGUUCUGGAAGCAAUUCAAUCGAUCAAACUACCAGGCUUGAAACAAAACACACUUUAUUCAUAUGCUGUAAUUAAAAUAAAAGAAUUGGCUUAACUGUAACUCUGUCAAAAUGCUUAACAUCAUAAUAUAUUAUGUUUACUACUACUAAUCAACUGUUCCAGUAUAGCAACGACCCAAAAAUACACCCUUGGCAAAGGUAAAUUCAGUAAAAUACAUGAUCUCGCAUGCAAUUCUAGCAGUUGGAAGAUAACCCAAGCUUUUUGCUGUAACAGAGGGAGGAAUAAGAGCUUCCGCAUCCAACUUCAAGACCGCAGCAACUGCUACUGAAAGUUAAAACUAAAACAAAAUCCUGCUUUGUGGGAACUUGAUCCUAACCAUUCAAGCAGCUUUUAUUGUUUCAAAUUAAAACAAAAAAGGCCUCACAAGCUGUUUAUUAGCUUUGGAGCAGACCGCUAUUCACCUCUGUUGCAACCUUUCUUAAAAAAAGACAAUACCCUUCUUAAAGCCACAAUAUUGUCACACCCAUUUGCCUGCCUUUGGCCCAUAUCCCUCUAAACUCUUCCUAUGCAUUCCCCCAUUUAAGUGCCUUUUAAAUGUUAAAAUUGUACCAGCCUCUACCACUUCUUUGACAGCUCAUUUCCAUACACACACCACUCUGUGUAUGAAAACUUUGUCUCUUAAAUCUCUUUUCAAUCUUUCCUCUCACACCUUUAAUCUACGUCCUCCAUUUUGGAAGUCUCCUAACCUGGGAAAAAGAUCUUAGCUAUUCACCCUAUCCAUGCCUCUCAUGAUUUUAUAAACUUUUAUAUGGUCAUCCCUCAAUCAAAUAGUUCUCCUUCUCCAUUUAGAGUCAUAGAGAUGUAAGCAUGGAAACAGACCCUUUGGUCCAACCCAUCCAAGCCGAUCAGAUAGCCC